rnacentral:tRNA from 1 species
AUUGAGAUGGCAGAAUACCGAUGCAUUAAAUUUAAGCUUUAAAGAUAGAAGAACACUUCUUCUCGAUA